AGAGAUCCCUUCCAAUAUCAGCACCAUGGCCUGGACUCUGCUCCUCCUCCAGUUCCUCCUCACUUGCUGCCCAGGGUCCAAUUCUCAGGCUGUAGUGACUCAGGAGCCCUCAAUGACUGUGUUCCCAGGAGGGACAGUCACUCUCACCUGUGCUUCCAGCACUGGAGCAGUCACCAGUGGUCACUCUCCACACUGGUUCCAGCAGAAACCUGGACAAGCCCCCAGGACACUGAUUUAUAAUACAAACUACAAACACUCCUGGACCCCUGCCCGGUUCUCAGGCUCCCUCCUUGGGGGUAAAGCUGCCCUGACACUGUCAGGUGCACAGCCUGAGGACGAGGCUGAGUAUUACUGCUGGCUGCACUAUAGUGGUGCUCAGCACAAUGACAGACUCAUAAAAGGAACCAAGACAUAA